ensembl:lncRNA
UCUCUAUUGAAGCUGGGUUGUGUUCAUUUGAGCACACACCAUAACGAAAUGUGUUGCAAAACUAAACAGUCAUUUGAUAUUGAACAAGUUCAGAUAGUUUUCUACCUCCUGUUUCACUGUGUUUUCUUCUGUAUUGAGCUUCUAAACACGACCCUGUCCGUUAUUGACUUCUUCUCUGUCCGUCUCUGUAGUGGUCUGUUGUUGUUGUUGUAUUGACCAUGUUGUCCUCUGUUGUUAUUUACACCAGUGGCCUGUUGUUGUUGUUGUUGUUGUUGUUGUUGUUGUUGUUGUUGUCCUCUGUUCUUAUUUCCCCCAGUGGCCUGUUGUUGUUGUUGUAUUGACCAUGUUGUCCUCUGUUCUUAUUUCCCCCAGUGGUCUGUUGUUGUUGUUGUUGUUGUUGUUGUAUUGACCAUGUUGUCCUCUGUUCUUAUUUCCCCCAGUGGUCUGUUGUUUGGCCUGUUGUUGUUGUUGUUGUUGUAUUGACCAUGUUGUCCUCUGUUCUUAUUUCCCCCAGUGGUCUGUUGUUUGGACCUGUUGUUGUUGUUGUAUUGACCAUGUUGUCCUCUGUUCUUAUUUACCCCAGUGGCCUGUUGUUGUUGUUGUUGUUGUUGUUGUAUUGACCAUGUUGUCCUCUGUUCUUAUUUCCCCCAGUGGCCUGUUGUUGUUGUUGUUGUUGUUGUAUUGACCAUGUUGUCCUCUGUUCUUAUUUCCCCCAGUGGUCUGUUGUUGUUGUUGUUGUUGUUGUUGUAUUGACCAUGUUGUCCUCUGUUCUUAUUUCCUCCAGUGGUCUGUUGUUGUUGUUGUAUUGACCAUGUUGUCCUCUGUUCUUAUUUCCUCCAGUGGCCUUGGCCUGUUGUUGUUGUUGUUGUUGUUGUUGUUGUAUUGACCAUGUUGUCCUCUGUUCUUAUUUCCCCCAGUGGUCUUGUUGUUGUUGUUGUUGUUGUUGUUGUUGUAUUGACCAUGUUGUCCUCUGUUGUUAUUUCCCCCAGUGGUCUGGCUGUGUUGGGCCGGGCUGGGAGGUGGUGGUGGUGGUCUCUGGGUGCUGGUCUAGGUGGAGAGGCAGAGGCAGGAGGAGCCUGCAGUGAAGGAGUGACUGUGGGUGUUGAGGUGGUGCCCGUGCCAGGCCAUGCCUGGGGGCCAGAGAGGGCAGAGGAGAUAGCAGCUGAGCCCUGCCCUCCCUAGAGACACUGGUAGGAGGCAGCCUCAGCAAUGGCAACAGACCCAGAAACAGAAUCUCCAUGACAGGCCUCCUAGUGGUCGGUGUCCUAAGGCACUGUAUCUUACUGCUGUGCCACUACAGAUCCUGGUUUGAAUCCAAACUCUGUUGACCCGGUAGACCCAUGGGGCGUUGUCCGGGUUUGGGGAGGGUUUGGCCGGCAGGGAUGUCCUUGUGCCAAUGCGCAUGAGCGACUCCUGUGGCGGGCCGGGCGCAGUGCACGCUGACACGGUCGCCGGGUGUACAGUGCACGCUGACACGGUCGCCGGGUGUACAGUGCACGCUGACACGGUCGCCGGGUGUACAGUGCACGCUGACACGGUCGCCGGGUGUACAGUGCACGCUGACAUGGUCGCCGGGUCUACCCAACACACUGUCACACUUCCUUUCAAAGAAACCACACCCCCUCUACAUACAGAGAACCCAGUCCAGUAGGAAGCCACUCCCCCUCUACAUACAAAGAACCCAGUCCAGGAGGAAGCCACUCCCCCUCUACAUACAGAGAACCCAGUCCAGGAGGAAGCCACUCCCCCUCUACAUACAGAGAACCCAGUCCAGGAGGAAGCCACUCCCCCUCUACAUACAGAGAACCCAGUCCAGUAGGAAGCCACUCCCCCUCUACAUACAGGGAACCCAGUCCAGGAGGAAGCCACUCCCUCUCCUCUGGUGUAGAGUUCCAUGAAACAGAAAGUCAUCUUUCAUACUGCCAUUGCUUAACCUACGGGAGAGAGCACCAAAAUGGCAGAGAAU